rnacentral:misc_RNA from 1 species
CAGAUUUCUGCAGAUCUAGGGUUUCCACUCCCAAAAUGUUGCCUCUCCCCCACUAGAAUCUCAGACAACAGCUUACGGUGCUCGCCCACCAUGCGCUCGCUUCUGCCGGGCUCGAGGGAGCAGAGCAACGGCGGCGCCGGCGGAAGCAGGGCUCAGCUCUACCUGAACGUCUACGACCUCACCCCCAUCAACAAUUACCUCUACUGGUUUGGCCUCGG